rnacentral:tRNA from 1 species
GCGGGCGUGGCGAAAUUGGUAUACGCACUUGACUUAGGAUCAAGCGCCGCAAGGCAUGGGGGUUCAAGUCCCUCCGCCCGCACCA